rnacentral:snRNA from 14 species
AUAUUUUCUUGGAUGGGGUCGAUGGGUGAUCAAGAAGGCCCAUGGUCGAGGUAGGUGACCUCCAUUGCCUAAGGUCCAGCCCAAGUGGUCGAGCCUACUUCAUAAUCUUUUUACAUGCAUUAUUAGAUAUUCCAUUUC